CCCUUUAGCAAUGGGUAAAGAGACACCUUAUUGGUAGUGUUGUUCUUAUAUCAGUCUGGGGCAAAGCAGAUGGCAGUCCUUUGUUCAUCCUGCCUGAUGCCUGACCUGUGGCCAAAGAUGUUUUAAGCCUAGGAUAUGUAA